GUCACUUUAGAAGUUUAAAGAUUAUUCUUAGCAUAAACUGACAACAUGCUGGGGACCCUCUGCACACUUAUCACUGUUCUAACAUGUGUGAGCGGUGCAACGGUGGUGACACAGAAGCCUCCAGUUGUGACAGUGAGAAAAAGAGAGACAGCCACCAUGGACUGUAACCUGGGGACUGUUAGUAACAGUGCUGCUAGUUGGUACAAACAGAUUCCAGGAGGAGUUCCUCAGUGGGUGCUGCGUUUCUACCACGGCUGGAGUUCACCAACCUAUGGUUCAGGGUUUUCAUCUCCGAAGUUCACAUCAAAUCAUCAGUCAACAACAGAUUACCGUUUGCAUAUCAACAGUGUAGAGGAAGGAGAUUCUGCAGUUUAUUACUGUAGUACAUGGGAUGACUCUGCUGAAGAGUGGGUAUCACAGUGA